GGUCGAGUGGUGUAGUGGUUAUCACGCUUGUCUCACAUCAAAGAUGUUCACAAGAGGUCCCCAGUUCGAGCCUGGGUUCGAUCA